rnacentral:rRNA from 1 species
CCUACGGGGGGCUGCAGUGAGGAAUAUUGGUCAAUGGGCGCGAGCCUGAACCAGCCAAGUAGCGUGAAGGAUGACUGCCCUACGGGUUGUAAACUUCUUUUAUAAAGGAAUAAAGUGAGGCACGUGUUCCUUUUUGUGUGUACUUUAUGUAUAAGGAUCGGCUAACUCUGUUCCAGCAGCCGCGGUAAUACGGAGGAUCCGAGAGUUAUCCGGAUUUAUUGGGUUUAAAGGGAGCGUAGAUGGGUUGUUAAGUCAGUUGUGAAAGUUUGCGGCUCAACCGUAAAAUUGCAAUUGAUACUGGCAGUCUUGAGUACAGUUGAGGUAGGCGGAAUUCGUGGUGUAGCGGUGAAAUGCUUAGAUAUCACGAAGAACUCCGAUUGCGAAGGCAGCUUACUAAACUGCCACUGACAUUGAUGCUCGAAAGUGUGGGUAGCAAACAGGAUUAGAUACCCUAGUAGUC